UUGGAGGGCAAGUCUGGUGCCAGCAGCCGCGGUAAUUCCAGCUCCAAUAGCGUAUAUUAAAGUUGUUGCAGUUAAAAAGCUCGUAGUUGAAUUUCGGGAUCAAAUUGUCGGUCGUGCCUCGGUACGCACUGGUAUUAUUGGUUCCUACCUUCUGAAGAACCGCGAUGUCAUUAAUUUGGUGUCGUGGGGAAUCAGGACUGUUACUUUGAAAAAAUUAGAGUGUUUAAAGCAGGCUUACGCUUGAAUACAUUAGCAUGGAAUAAUGAAAUAGGACGUUUGAUUCUAUUUUGUUGGUUUCUAGGAUUGACGUAAUGAUUAAUAGGGAUAGUUGGGGGCAUUAGUAUUCAAUUGUCAGAGGUGAAAUUCUUGGAUUUAUUGAAGACUAACUACUGCGAAAGCAUUUGCCAAGGAUGUUUUCAUUAAUCAAGAACGAAAGUAGGGGAUCGAAGACGAUCAGAUACCGUCGUAGUCUUAACCAUAAACUAUGCCGACUAGGGAUCGGAUGAUGUUAAUUUUUUAAUGACUCAUUCGGCGCCUUACGGGAAAC
rnacentral:rRNA from 1 species